rnacentral:misc_RNA from 1 species
AGAAAGGGGCUGGAGCUCGAAGACCCACUUGACAAGGAUGAUGAGGUUCUUCUGGUGACUGAAGAUGCCGUCGAGGAGAAGAAUGAUGAGAUGGUAGUUGCAAGUGAAAAGGUUGAAUCAAAAUUGUUGGAUCAAGAGGAACCAACUGUGAUGAAAGACGGGGAUCUUGUCGCUCAGGACACAGUCCAGGAAAAGAAUGAUGAUUUGGAGAUUGCAAAUGGAUCUAGUCCA